GUCGAACGGCUCACGGUCUUCGGACGGUGGGUAGUGGCGGACGGCUGAGUAACACGUGGGUGACCUGCCCUCGAGCGGGGGAUAACUGCCCGAAAGGGUGGCUAAUACCGCAGACGUCAUGAGGUCGGACUCAUGACUGAACCUCCGGGGUUCGGGGAGGGGCCCGCGGUCGAUUAGCUGGUUGGUGGGGUAACGGCCUACCAAGGCUGCGAUCGAUAGCUGGUCUGAGAGGAUGAUCAGCCAGACUGGGACUGCGAACGGCCCAGACUCCUACGGGAGGCAGCAGUUAGGAAUUUUGGGCAAUGGGCGAAAGCCUGACCCAGCAACGCCGCGUGGGUGAUGAAGGCCCUCGGGUCGUAAAGCCCUUUUCCCGGGGAAGAUGAUGACGGUACCCGGGGAAUCAGCCC
rnacentral:rRNA from 1 species